AAACCUGGAGUCCAACCCGUGCAUAAAGUCCCCUUCUCACCGUUUUGGUUUUCAAUAGCUUGAUCAUACUAAUCUUCUCAGAAGACUGUUUUUCCUUGAUCUCUGCUUCAACGGAGUCCUUGAGAUCUUGAAUCUCUGCCUCUACUUCAUUUGCUUCAGACUACCAUAUUUAUGAAGACCAACUACUUGAGGAAAAGCCAUACUAUCACCUUGCGGUAUAACCAUCGAGGUGACUCUGGAAGAAAUAGCAUUAAGAGAAACUGCACGAGCGCUGGAACACCUGCAACCCCGAGCAUCCACCGCCAUGUCCCCGGUGCCUACAUGAGGGAAGCCUCAGAGAUGUACAAAGGGGAGGUCAUGGAAGCCAUUCCCACACCAAGGCCAACGAAAACCCUGACCGACAAUGAGAAGGGAAGGGCCAGGUGAAGCAGCCAUGACCACAGCUCCAAUGAAGAAGAGAAAAUCUGCAAUGAGAAUUGCAGUUCGCCUUCCAUAUCGGUCGUUCAUCCAACCUCCAAUUGCAGGCCAAUUGCGGCUCCUAUUAUGGCCCCUGCAAUUGCCAUGCUUACUAUGGUUUCCUGUUUCAUGUCAAUACCAUCAUCACCAAGAGGUCAGCUGCAUUUCUAAAUGAGGAAAAGCUAACAAAUCGGAUUUAAUGCAUUGGAAAACUUACUGAUUUGAAUUUGAGUGUAUAUGGGUGGAUCGAGAUUUAAUGCACAAUAAAACCUUGAUUUGGAUUAGGGUAGGGCUGGGUUGAGUUGAUCGAGAUUUAAUGCAUUGGAAAACCUAUAGAUUUAGCUUUGGGUGGAUCGAGGUUUAAUGCAUUAGAAAAUCCAUUGAUUUGGAUGAGUUGGGUUGUUCGAGAUUUAACUCAUUGGAAACGCUAUUGAUUU